GCUCAACCGGGGAGGGUCAUUGGAAACUGGGGAACUUGAGUGCAGAAGAGGAGAGUGGAAUUCCACGUGUAGCGGUGAAAUGCGUAGAGAUGAGGAGGAACACCAGUGGCGAAGGCGACUCUCUGGUCUGUAACUGACGCUGAGGCGCGAAAGCGUGGGGAGCGAACAGGAUUAGAUACCCUGGUAGUCCACGCCGUAAACGAUGAGUGCUAAGUGUUAGAGGGUUUCCGCCCUUUAGUGCUGCAGCAAACGCAUUAAGCACUCCGCCUGGGGAGUACGGUCGCAAGACUGAAACUCAAAGGAAUUGACGGGGGCCCGCACAAGCGGUGGAGCAUGUGGUUUAAUUCGAAGCAACGCGAAGAACCUUACCAGGUCUUGACAUCCUCUGACAACCCUAGAGAUAGGGCUUCCCCUUCGGGGGCAGAGUGACAGGUGGUGCAUGGUUGUCGUCAGCUCGUGUCGUGAGAUGUUGGGUUAAGUCCCGCAACGAGCGCAACCCUUGAUCUUAGUUGCCAGCAUUCAGUUGGGCACUCUAAGGUGACUGCCGGUGACAAACCGGAGGAAGGUGGGGAUGACGUCAAAUCAUCAUGCCCCUUAUGACCUGGGCUACACACGUGCUACAAUGGGCAGAACAAAG
rnacentral:rRNA from 1 species